GUGGGGAAUAUUGGACAAUGGGGGGAACCCUGAUCCAGCCAUGCCGCGUGUGUGAAGAAGGCCUUUUGGUUGUAAAGCACUUUAAGCGAGGAGGAGGCUACCGAGAUUAAUACUCUUGGAUAGUGGACGUUAUUCGCAGAAUAAGCACCGGCUAACUCUGUGCCAGCAGCCGCGGUAAUACAGAGGGUGCAAGCGUUAAUCGGAUUUACUGGGCGUAAAGCGCGCGUAGGUGGCCAAUUAAGUCAAAUGUGAAAUCCCCGAGCUUAACUUGGGAAUUGCAUUCGAUACUGGUUGGCUAGAGUAUGGGAGAGGAUGGUAGAAUUCCAGGUGUAGCGGUGAAAUGCGUAGAGAUCUGGAGGAAUACCGAUGGCGAAGGCAGCCAUCUGGCCUAAUACUGACACUGAGGUGCGAAAGCAUGGGGAGCAAACAGGAUUAGAUACCCUGGUAGUCC
rnacentral:rRNA from 1 species